UCAACGGAGAGUUUGAUCCUGGCUCAGGACGAACGCUGGCGGCGUGCUUAACACAUGCAAGUCGAGCGGUAAGGCUCCUUCGGGAGUACACGAGCGGCGAACGGGUGAGUAACACGUGA
rnacentral:rRNA from 1 species